GAGUUUGAUCGUGGCUCAGGACAAACGCUGGCGGCGUGCCUAAAACAUGCAAGUCGUACGGUCCUUCGGGACAGUGGCGAACGGCUGAGUAACACGUGGGUAACCUACCCAUGAGUGGGGGAUAACCCUCCGAAAGGAGGGCUAAUACCGCGUACGCUCACUUGACCCUGGUUGGGUGAGGAAAGCAGCAAUGCGCUCGUGGAUGGGCCUGCGGCCGAUUAGCUAGUUGGUGAGGUAAUGGCCCACCAAGGCUUCGAUCGGUAGCUGGUCUGAGAGGAUGAUCAGCCAGACUGGGACUGUGACACGGCCCAGACUCCUACGGGAGGCAGCAGUUAGGAAUUUUGGGCAAUGGGCGAAAGCCUGACCCAGCAACGCCGCGUGGGUGACGAAGGCCUUC
rnacentral:rRNA from 1 species